GAUGAUAAUCAAAAUAUGCUUUAAUUUUUAAUUGAAUAAAAAAAAAAUCAAUGGCGGUGGAAAGGUGAGACGUAAGGUUUUAGUGUUAAUUGUGUGGAUGGCUGGUUGGUUAUGUAUAGGAUUAUUAUUUUCUACGUGCACUGCACUUACGACCAACUUUGGUGUGUCUUAAAUGUUGACUUUGAAGCAGGCUCUGCAGUUCAAUAUCCAUAACUCCGAAAAGAUUGAUCUUCUUCUAUACGCUGAAGUUGUCCUUUUAUCUUCCCAUGUUCAGAUUUGGAGUCCGACCUCCUUCGACCCCUGGCGCAGCACUCGAGUAAAUGCUCCAACAACAAAGGUAAAGAACUUAGACCAAUAAGAAAACUCACUAUCUAACAUCGAGUGUGGCAAACCACCACACCACCAAGGGAAAAACGUCCAGCUCGAGAGAAGGGAAAAACGUCCACUUCACCCCAAUGCUCAAAAGGUCAGACACAGCGAAGGAACCGCCCAAGUCCUGUCCCUUGAAGGGGAGGAUAUAGUCUAUAGGCCUUGACCCUACAUAAAUUGGGUAGAAGACAAGAAGCCCAAAAAUGAAACGGCUCACCACCAAAAAGAAACCCUCCAAUAAAGACACAAUGAUAAGUGUAAUAAAUUUGUUGGAAUUACAUGCCGAAACAAAAUGGAAAUAUUAUUUAUCUAUAUAAAAAUAUUAUCAAUUUGAUAGUAUUUUUAACACAAAA